UACGGAGGGAGCUAGCGUUAUUCGGAAUUACUGGGCGUAAAGCGCACGUAGGCGGAUCGUUAAGUCGGGGGUGAAAUCCUGGAGCUCAACUCCAGAACUGCCUUCGAUACUGGCGAUCUUGAGUCCGGAAGAGGUGAGUGGAACUCCUAGUGUAGAGGUGGAAUUCGUAGAUAUUAGGAAGAACACCAGUGGCGAAGGCGGCUCACUGGUCCGGUACUGACGCUGAGGCACGAAGGCUAGGGGAGCAAACGGG
rnacentral:rRNA from 1 species